rnacentral:lncRNA from 1 species
GCUGUUUUCAAGUUAAGAAGAGUGGAAAUGUCGAUGUGGGUUUACUCAGUGUGUUUUGGUUAAGGCCAAGAAGAUUUGGGAUUUCAUUAUAUAAGACAAGCAAAGUGGGGAGCAGGAAGAGGAGAGGACCUCGGGAGUGUGCAGUCUCCACCUCCUUCCCAUCCUUAAUGAACCAGAUCUUUCCAAGGAGACUACCAAGCUGAGGAUCUGGAGAAGCUACAAGCUGUAUUGGUGGCAUGUACUUAUGAAUGCUGCGAGACAAAGCCUUCAGAGCUGGCCCCAGAUGUGAGGCGGUGUUACCAGUGAACAUGGAUGUGGCGCCACAGCAAGGACAGCUGAGGCGGGGCAGGACCUUCUCCACUGUCCCCACUCUGGACUCUGCAAGCACCGUAUCUGGCCAGAGACAAAGUGGCUGGUAUCUGACUGGGUACUCAGCCACCAGCCUGCUGCAUCUGGCUGUCCCUGGGAAGAAAGGAGGAUACAAGUUUUAGGUUUUAAAUUUUAAAAUGUAUUUUUAAUAAAUAAUCUUUGCACGCAGUCCAGUGUGUGGAGAAGGGUCUCUCUCCUCCUCCUGCCUCUGUCCCUCAGGGCUCCUGACUCCUUCCUGAGAAGCAACCUCCUCCGCUGCCUGAUUCCUUGGGUCCUGUGGGGUUCUUAGCACACACAGCUGGGGCACUUGAUUCUGUUACACAAAGGGCAGCACACUGCACUGCUGUUUAUUUAGCCA